rnacentral:lncRNA from 1 species
AGAAGUAAAAAACUGCAAACUAAGAAGAAUAUUACCAGUUAUAGGGCAAUAAACUCUUAGGAGACUCGAAGCAUCUAUCUAGGUAAGAGCUAGAAAGAAACAAUCAAUCAAGACUCAAUCCAAUGAGGAUAUAACUCAAGGGGAAUGAUUCCAUCCAGAUAAACAACUGGAAAGGAAACUAAAAUAAUAAUCAUCCACGAGGAAACAAACUCAGUG